rnacentral:rRNA from 1 species
UACGUAGGGGGCAAGCGUUGUCCGGAUUUAUUGGGCGUAAAGAGCGUGUAGGCGGUUUGGUAGGUCCGCUGUGAAAAACUCGAGGCUCAACCCUCGAGACGCCGGUGGAAACCAUCAGACUAGAGUCCGGAAGAGGAGAGUGGAAUUCCUGGUGUAGCGGUGAAAUGCGCAGAUAUCAGGAAGAACACCAAUGGCGAAAGCAGCUUUCUGGGACGGUACUGACGCUGAGACGCGAAAGCGUGGGGAGCGAACAGG